AAGAAUACGCGGAGGAGGUGGCCCGGGUCGGCGUCGGCACCAUCCGGCGCGGGCCACGGGCCCGCUUCCAAGUGCGUCUGCACGCCGGCCACUCACACCGGGUCCUUCAAGUGCCGCUUCCAUUGCACCAACUCCCAGGGCCACGACCACGGCCAGGGCCAGGGAAGCCGUUCUUCGCCGCCUUCACCGGCCGCGGCCAACGCGGUGCCGCGGCACCCGGCCUCGCCGUCCUCGUCCUACGGCACCGUCGCGACCCAGUGA
rnacentral:rRNA from 1 species